rnacentral:siRNA from 1 species
AUAUCUAUGUGGAAUCUCAGAUU